CUUCUUUAAUUAUGACACUACUAUGAGUAUUUUAAAACAAUAUUUUAAUCAAGUGUGAAUGAAAUGAAAUUAGUGAGAGAUUGAGAGUAUGCAUUUGUGUUAAGUGGACCUAAAUUGAAGGAGUUAGUGCUUAGUGGGUGAUGAGCCACGUUGGAGAACAAGUGAUGGGUUAUGAACCUAGAUAUUGGAAUUAGUUUUGAACACAGAGUGAGAGAGUAUGGCAGCAGCGACGGAGAAGAGGUGAGGAAAUUGGUUUCGGUUUCAAUCAGUUGUGCAAUUAGCCUGCUCCUUUUUCGUUUAAAUUUUGGUAUGAUGUUUCUACCUAUGAGUCAGUUUAUUUAAUUCACUCUUUUGAAUAUAUAGACAUUCCAUUGUCUUUGUCGAAACUCCAAUUUUCUUCAUCGACGAGAUUCACCCUUUUGUUCCGAUCUUUGUCAUUGUAACUCCGAUUUGAGUGAAAUCAACGACGAAUAUUCUCCACCAGAUUAUUUUCUGAUUUGGGGUAAGUUUCUUUGGCCCAAUUUCAAAAUUGACCAUUUUAGAGCAUAUUCUUAUAUUUUAUUUUUACUCCCAACCACAAAUUUUCGAGUUGGAACAAUCAGAGAACACGAGGAGGCGAAGGAACAUAAGUUUAUGCGUGCAAACCUGAUCUAGGGUGCGUAAGCAUCAAAUUAGCUUAGAGUCGUAUGCUUGGAAGGAAAGCGCCUAAGGUACCAAAGAAAAAUGAAGUUGAUGUGUUGCUUGUACGUGCGUGGGGAUAAAUCGAAGGGUUUUUAUUAGAGUAUAAUUGUAAAUUUAAAUAAGGCUUCUUAACAAUUGUAUAGCUACUUUAUUGUAAAUUUAACAUAUUUUGAUAUUGACAACUUGUAGUA